rnacentral:rRNA from 1 species
ACGCUCGACACCUACGGGAGCAGCAGUGGGGAAUAUUGCACAAUGGGGGAAACCCUGAUGCAGCGAUGCCGCGUGAAGGAAGAAGUAUCUCGGUAUGUAAACUUCUAUCAGCAGGGAAGAAAAUGACGGUACCUGACUAAGAAGCCCCGGCUAACUACGUACCAGCAGCCGCGGUAAUCUGAGCGGGCUGGCAAGGC